rnacentral:rRNA from 1 species
CAAGCGGCGGCGGCGGGAAGCAGGUAAGUGGCGGCGGCGAGGUAGUGAAGCGGCGGCCGGCUACCUAAGCGGCCCAGCAGCGAGGAGUCCCGGUCGGGGAGGGCGGCGCGACCUAGUGCACCGCCGGAUCCCUUGGGAUUGGUCGGGGGCUAGAAGCGUAGAGAGGGACUUAGGGAGGAGGAGGUGCUCGGCGCGCCACACGAAGGGAGGAGGGUGUGCUACGAGGAGAGGGAGGGGUUUAGCUGUACCUAGAGCGCGACGACCUAGGGGAGGAGAGGGAGGGGUUUAGCUGUACCUAGAGCGCGACGACCUAGGGGAGGAGAGGGAGGGACUGAACGGCACUUAGAACACGACGCUCUCGACGAGAUAGGGAAGGGACCGGCGGUAUCUAGAGCGGUCGGUGGUAGCCUCCUUCGGGGUGUUUGGGUUCAAACUACCCGAACGGUCGCUACAACUCCAGGAACGGUACCGAGGCUCGGACCUCUCAUCGCGACAGGGUCUAACUCCACCUCGAGGCCUCCCUCUACUGCGACAAGUUCUGCGACCGGUAGUGAAAGAGGUCCUACUACUAGAAGUGACCCUAGUGCAGAAACAUGCCAUCGUAGGAGGUCAAUCCUUCCGGACGGCCGGUCGGAGCACACCCCGACCCAGUAGUAGAGGAAGAAGUGGACCAAUUACCCACAGCAGUACAACCCCUAAAGAGGAACGGAAACAGACUUGGAGAUUGAUGACUUCGACUUUUACUUCAAGUGCUAACAAACAUACCAUUGCCAAGUCCAUCGUUUUCAGGACCACGAUGUACUUUGCAGAUUGUGAGUCCAAUCGUCCUUUUUUUUGUCACAAACUCUGGUGUACCGUCCAAUUUACUACUCGAUUUAUAAGUAGAAUGUACAUGAUUUGGUAGGAAUAACUAACGUUUGUACAUUUGAAACGUGACUACAAAAAUAUGCAUUACCCCUUUCACCCUAGGGAACAGAAGUCCAGUAAUUAAACAUGGAACUUAACAAUUUCCUCUACCCUUACUUUUUGGGUUUUCCAAGAAAUUUACGUCGAAGAAGUUAUGUAAAUAUAACUGUCAACUAUCUACCUAGGUCAUCCGGAACCAUCACGAUUCGCACAAACUAAGGUGAUAACGAUUCGCACAAACUUUGGUGAUAACGAACUCAGCAAGAAGGCCAGAGAGUAACCAUGCACCCCGCAUGGGGUGCAUUGUAAUACAAAGAGACUAUUUAAACGACUACACUUCCAGUCUGUUAAGGCUCUUAGUCUGGACGGUUAUACUCUUCAAUUUACAUUCUUUACUCUUAUUCCUUCAUCAAAAGAAGCUACUUCUUCUAUGUUUUGGCGACUUAGGCAACUACAGUUCCACCGAUUAUUUGCCAUUUAACCAUUGUGCUAUUCACUAUUAUUAAAACGGAUGAUUGUGCUCUCGUUUUCCAUGAUAAGUACUAUAAACACACGAACACAAAUUAAUCUAGUUAAGAAACCGGAGGCUCUUCUACGAUAGGUCCCACAAACUAGGUAGAGGGCAGUCUGAAUAAAAACAACUAGAACACGAACUGUGGUUAAUAAAGAAGAAGAGUUUUUUUUCCUCCUUCUCCUCUGGGGACCACCGCGCCUGUAGGUUGCUGGGCCUGUAGCAGGAGGGCACUGCAGGAGGAGGUUCGGGCUUAGGUCACGGAGGAGUUCUUUACCUCUUCGCGGUACCAACCGACAACGAACUCCUUUACUCCUCUACGUAUACGGUCGUUACAACAACCUCCUUCCUUGUGAAGGUAUAAGAUAUUCCGGCUACGGUUCCUUCCACUCCCAGGACACCGACCGACGACGAUCCUUAUCGUCCGUCAUCCCUUCAAAGAAAGACUAAACUUCACACGUCUAACCCUGUCGAGCGAAAAACACUCGUUGGUAGACUUACGAUUUUACAGUAUUUACCGACACUUGUCUAGCCUAUACUAAGUAUGUAGUCCCGAGUUCUAUACACCAAAACCUAAUCCCAUACUGAGUUCUAUACACUGAAGGUUCCCUUGACGUUUGAGUUCUAUACACCAGAACCUGAUCGUUCUAAACGUAGGUCACUGUGGGGAUGUUGUCAAAAGACCUACCUGGUACAGUGGUGGACUACCAUGGCUCGAGUACUUGAGACAUUACAAGAUAGUAAUGGUUCACAACAAUUGUUAAAGGCCUCCGAUUGAAUCUCCUUCUAUCUCCUUUCUCGUCCCGUCAACUCCCCUUCAUGUAAAGAGUGACCUCUGUGAAAAAGUCUAAUGAUCUGUAUAUCCUUCUUAAUACUUUGAUUUUACCCUACAAUGACAACCGUAAACUACUGUUUCACUCCGGUUAUAUCUUGUUUUUGAUUCGAAAACCCUGAUUGGUGCCUUAUAAUCAUGAUAUACGACUAUAACUGUUCGGCGUGAUAGAAGAGGCCACCGUACCCGUUGCACAUAAUACAGCUUCACACACCCUAAUAACUAAAAUACAGAAAUAAAAAUGAUUAUAUAUAAAUAUGUUCCUGCUGUUAGUUGUUUUACACAUAAAGAGUAAGUUGGUCACAGGAGCAUACAUUUCUGUUCAUUACGAAGCUCGUGUACUCUUUCUUUUGUCAUGAAUUCUUAAAAGGAUACCCACCAGCAAACUAAACGU